GCCGGAGUGGUGAAAUUGGUAGACGCAGGGGACUCAAAAUCCCCCGGACUUCGCGUCCGUGCGGGUUCGACUCCCGCCUCCGGCACCA
rnacentral:tRNA from 1 species